rnacentral:rRNA from 1 species
UACGUAGGGGGCAAGCGUUGUCCGGAAUCAUUGGGCGUAAAGAGCGUGUAGGCGGCCCGGUAAGUCCGCUGUGAAAGUCCAGGGCUCAACCCUGGGAUGCCGGUGGAUACUGUCGGGCUCGAGUCCGGAAGAGGCGAGUGGAAUUCCUGGUGUAGCGGUGAAAUGCGCAGAUAUCAGGAGGAACACCAAUGGCGAAGGCAGCUCGCUGGGCCGUGACUGACGCUGAGACGCGAAAGCGUGGGGAGCAAACAGG